rnacentral:lncRNA from 1 species
GUCUUUAGAAUGACUAAAAUAAUUAAGUGCUCUGCUCAUAAUUAUUAGCUCUGCCAGAAAAAUCAUCUGUGGUGUAAAUUUUUGUUGGUCCUGUAGCUUGCUGAAAACAAAAUCUUAUCUGCUGCAGGUAUUUGUAUAGGCUACUUAGGUGUGCAUUUCAUUAUCUCUACCAUCUGUUGCCAUAUUUGACUGACUGCCUGGCUUGACCUAGUUGAAUAUUAUAUGCCAUAUGUUUAUAAUCUGCUUCGAAUAUCUAUUUGAUCUCUCUAAAUUCUAUUCCUGAAAUAUGAAAAUAGUUGAAAAGAUGAUUGCUUAUAUAUUUUGAUCACAAAUGAUUGUCCAUGUGAUAUAAUGUUUGGGUUGUUUACAUGAGACUUCCUUGAUUAGUUAAA